CGGGGUGUGGCUCAGGUGGUAGAGCGCCUGCUUCGGGAGCAGGAGGCCGCUGGUUCAAGUCCAGUCACUCCGACCA
rnacentral:tRNA from 1 species